rnacentral:rRNA from 1 species
AGUGAACGCUGGCGGUAGGCCUAACACAUGCAAGUCGAACGGCAGCACAGUAAGAGCUUGCUCUUACGGGUGGCGAGUGGCGGACGGGUGAGGAAUACAUCGGAAUCUACUUUUUCGUGGGGGAUAACGUAGGGAAACUUACGCUAAUACCGCAUACGACCUACGGGUGAAAGCAGGGGAUCUUCGGACCUUGCGCGAUUGAAUGAGCCGAUGUCGGAUUAGCUAGUUGGCGGGGUAAAGGCCCACCAAGGCGACGAUCCGUAGCUGGUCUGAGAGGAUGAUCAGCCACACUGGAACUGAGACACGGUCCAGACUCCUACUGGAGGCAGCAGUGGGGAAGAUUGGACAAUGGGCGCAAGCCUGAUCCAGCCAUACCGCGUGGGUGAAGAAGGCCUUCGGGUUGUAAAGCCCUUUUGUUGGGAAAGAAAAGCAGCAGGUUAAUACCCCGCUGUUCUGACGGUACCCAAAGAAUAAGCACCGGCUAACUUCGUG